UACGUAGGGGGCAAGCGUUGUCCGGAAUCAUUGGGCGUAAAGAGCGUGUAGGCGGCCAGAUAAGUCCGCUGUGAAAUCUCGAGGCUCAACUUCGAGCUGUCGGUGGAAACUGUCUGGCUAGAGUCCGGAAGAGGAGAAUGGAAUUCCUGGUGUAGCGGUGAAAUGCGCAGAUAUCAGGAGGAACACCGGUGGCGAAGGCGCCACUCUGGGCCGGUACUGACGCUGAGGAGCGAAAGCGUGGGUAGCAAACAGG
rnacentral:rRNA from 1 species